rnacentral:rRNA from 1 species
UACGGAGGAUGCGAGCGUUAUCCGGAUUUAUUGGGUUUAAAGGGUGCGCAGGCGGAUUUUUAAGUCAGCGGUCAAAUCGUGGGGCUCAACCCCGCCGAGCCGUCGGAACUGGGGGCCUUGAGUGCGGCGGAGGCAUGCGGAAUGCGCGGUGUAGCGGUGAAAUGCAUAGAUAUCGCGCAGAACCCCGAUUGCGAAGGCAGCGUGCCGUGCCGCCACUGACGCUGAGGCACGAAAGCGCGGGGAUCGAACAGG